AUUGAACGCUGGCGGCAGGCCUAACACAUGCAAGUCGAGCGGAUGAAGGGAGCUUGCUCCUGGAUUCAGCGGCGGACGGGUGAGUAAUGCCUAGGAAUCUGCCUGGUAGUGGGGGAUAACGUCCGGAAACGGGCGCUAAUACCGCAUACGUCCUGAGGGAGAAAGUGGGGGAUCUUCGGACCUCACGCUAUCAGAUGAGCCUAGGUCGGAUUAGCUAGUUGGUGGGGUAAAGGCCUACCAAGGCGACGAUCCGUAACUGGUCUGAGAGGAUGAUCAGUCACACUGGAACUGAGACACGGUCCAGACUCCUACGGGAGGCAGCAGUGGGGAAUAUUGGACAAUGGGCGAAAGCCUCAUCCAGCCAUGCCGCGUGUGUGAAGAAGGUCUUCGGAUUGUAAAGCACUUUAAGUUGGGAGGAAGGGCAGUAAGUUAAUACCUUGCUGUUUUGACGUUACCAACAGAAUAAGCACCGGCUAACUUCGUG
rnacentral:rRNA from 1 species